rnacentral:snoRNA from 1 species
CCAAGAUGGUUAUGCCAGGAGGUAAUUCUUCCAAGAUCUGUCCUAGUGGCAGAGAGGAUCACAGGGCUUAUCCCAUCAGGAGCCAUCCCUGUCCAGUCCACAGUGCUGGAGAGGAAGCUGGGCCUGGUGUCUGUACAUUUAAAUUCAAAAUGUAAAAAUUACACAAUA